rnacentral:lncRNA from 1 species
GUCCGGACUCCUGGACUCCACCCCAGGCUUCCUGUUUAACCAGGGAAGUCAGACUUGAAGCAGGGAAGGCAGGGGUGUCACAGGAGCAGGCGGCCUGGACUGGCCUGGUGCUGUGGCUGGUGAGGCAGUGACAUCUGCCUUCAAAGCUGCCGGCUUGCCUCCAGAGGAGCCACCUGUGGUUAGUGGGACCCUCGCUGACCAUGCAGGGCACACUGUGGGAGA